GAUGAACGCUGGCGGCGUGCCUAAUACAUGCAAGUCGAGCGAACAGACGAGGAGCUUGCUCCUCUGACGUUAGCGGCGGACGGGUGAGUAACACGUGGAUAACCUACCUAUAAGACUGGGAUAACUUCGGGAAACCGGAGCUAAUACCGGAUAAUAUAUUGAACCGCAUGGUUCAAUAGUGAAAGACGGUUUUGCUGUCACUUAUAGAUGGAUCCGCGCCGCAUUAGCUAGUUGGUAAGGUAACGGCUUACCAAGGCAACGAUGCGUAGCCGAACUGAGAGGGUGAGCGGCCACACUGGAACUGAGACACGGUCCAGACUCCUACGGGAGGCAGCAGUAGGGAAUCUUCCGCAAUGGGCGGAAGCUUGACGGAGCAACGCCGCGUGAGUGAUGAAGGUCUUCGGAUCGUAAAACUCUGUUAUUAGGGAAGAACAAAUGUGUAAGUAACUAUGCACGUCUUGACGGUACCUAAUCAGAAAGCCACGGCUAACUACGUG
rnacentral:rRNA from 1 species